GAUGAACGCUGGCGGCGUGCCUAAUACAUGCAAGUCGAGCGAACAGACGAGGAGCUUGCUCCUCUGACGUUAGCGGCGGACGGGUGAGUAACACGUGGAUAACCUACCUAUAAGACUGGGAUAACUUCGGGAAACCGGAGCUAAUACCGGAUAAUAUAUUGAACCGCAUGUUCAAUAGUGAAAGACGGUUUUGCUGUCACUUAUAGAUGGAUCCGCGCCGCAUUAGCUAGUUGGUAAGGUAACGGCUUACCAAGGCAACGAUGCGUAGCCGACCUGAGAGGGUGAUCGGCCACACUGGAACUGAGACACGGUCCAGACUCCUACGGGAGGCAGCAGUAGGGAAUCUUCCGCAAUGGGCGAAAGCUUGACGGAGCAACGCCGCGUGAGUGAUGAAGGUCUUCGGAUCGUAAAACUCUGUUAUUAGGGAAGAACAAAUGUGUAAGUAACUAUGCACGUCUUGACGGUACCUAAUCAGAAAGCCACGGCUAACUACGUG
rnacentral:rRNA from 1 species